AUUGAACGCUGGCGGCAGGCCUAACACAUGCAAGUCGAAUGGUAACAGGAAACAGCUUGCUGUUUCGCUGACGAGUGGCGGACGGGUGAGUAAUGUCUGGGAAACUGCCUGAUGGAGGGGGAUAACUACUGGAAACGGUAGCUAAUACCGCAUAACGUCGCAAGACCAAAGAGGGGGACCUUCGGGCCUCUUGCCAUCAGAUGUGCCCAGAUGGGAUUAGCUAGUAGGUGGGGUAACGGCUCACCUAGGCGACGAUCCCUAGCUGGUCUGAGAGGAUGACCAGCCACACUGGAACUGAGACACGGUCAGACUCCUACGGGAGGCAGCAGUGGGGAAUAUUGCACAAUGGGCGCAAGCCUGAUGCAGCCAUGCCGCGUGUAUGAAGAAGGCCUUCGGGUUGUAAAGUACUUUCAGCGGGGAGGAAGGGAGUAAAGUUAAUACCUUUGCUCAUUGACGUUACCCGCAGAAGAAGCACCGGCUAACUCCGUG
rnacentral:rRNA from 1 species